CCUACGGGUGGCAGCAGUGGGGAAUAUUGCACAAUGGGGGGAACCCUGAUGCAGCGACGCCGCGUGAGUGAAGGAGUAUUUCGGUAUGUAAAGCUCUAUCAGCAGGGAAGAAAAUGACGGUACCUGACCAAGAAGCCCCGGCUAACUACGUGCCAGCAGCCGCGGUAAUACGUAGGGGGCAAGCGUUAUCCGGAUUUACUGGGUGUAAAGGGAGCGCAGGCGGCUGUGCAAGCCUGAAGUGAAAGGCGGGGGCCCAACCCCGGGACUGCACAGGCAACUGCAAUGCUGGAGUGCAGGAGAGGUAAGCGGAAGUCCUAGUGUAGCGGUGAAAUGCGUAGAUAUUAGGAGGAACACCAGUGGCGAAGGCGGCUUGCUGGACUGUAACUGACGCUGAGGCUCGAAAGCGUGGGGAGCAAACAGGAUUAGAUACCCUUGUAGUC
rnacentral:rRNA from 1 species